GUUAAAUCCAUCACGCUGCUGAAAAGACAUGAAAUGCAACAGCUACCACUGCAUCCUGUAAUUCUUUGGUUCUCCAGGAUGAGAGGCUCUUUUCCAGACAGCACAGCAGGGAGUGUUAUGGGACACAGUGGUGCAGAUGCAGGCAACAUUUUUGGGAGGCCUUGCAGAACUUGAUGGCUCCGUCUGUGGGUUCCAUGACCAGCCAAGCCCCUGGAGGGACAUCACCGCCCUGGGAAGCACAGGUCACACUGCCAGCUGCUGCAAUAUUGCAGGGAAUGUAACACAAGCACGUGCGCCUUCUGCCCGUGUAAGGACAUCACAGAAUGAGUGAUGACAAUAGGGACUGACACCCAAAUGCUAGGGCAGAGGUUCAGUGCUGGGGCCAGUAACUGAUACGAGGAGCUGCAGAUGAGACCCCAGCACAAGGAUUUGAGGGACAGCUGUGCUGAGCUCCCUCCAUCACUGGCACCGAUCCACCAUUCCCACCCAUCACCAGAAGAUCCCGAGGAGCAUCUCAGUCCCCAGCAGCCCCACCAUGUGGGCACGGAGCCCACUCCAAAACAGCCUCACUCAAUUACACCACUGUAACACCUCACCGACGGACGCACGGUUUGACUGCUGAUGGCAGAUGGACGAACACUUGUCGGUGAUCUGGUGCUGAGCGAGAGGCAGAUUUAUUUCCAGAGCCUGCUACUCUUGUUUCUUCCAAUGAAGCUGCAAGGCAGAGCAUACAUCUGUGGGUUUUUUCCUUCCAAACAUGGCUAUGCUGCAGGGAGAUCCAUCACUGAAAGCCAUAGGGUUUUGGGCCUGUUUGUGUGGGAAGGAGGAAGGCAGAAGCUGCAGCUCUGCACAGCACUGGAAGCUGCUCGACUGCACAAGUGUGGGCUGAGUUACCAAAUCUCAACCAUAGCCUGAGCCAGGAUGGAAGCUGGCUCACCAGCAAAGAGCUGCAGAGCUGCAAAGCGGAGUGAAAAGGACCGAAUAACCACAUUUAGGUGAUUUUAAUGUGCACCCUAUACAUAACAACAUCC
rnacentral:lncRNA from 1 species